rnacentral:rRNA from 1 species
UACGUAGGGGGCUAGCGUUGUCCGGAAUCAUUGGGCGUAAAGCGCGUGUAGGCGGUCCGGUAAGUCCGCUGUGAAAGUCGAGGGCUCAACCCUCGAAUGCCGGUGGAUACUGUCGGGCUAGAGUGCGGAAGAGGCGAGUGGAAUUCCUGGUGUAGCGGUGAAAUGCGCAGAUAUCAGGAGGAACACCUAUUGCGAAGGCAGCUCGCUGGGACGUUACUGACGCUGAGACGCGAAAGCGUGGGGAGCGAACAGG